UACGAAGGGGGCUAGCGUUGUUCGGAAUUACUGGGCGUAAAGGGCGCGUAGGCGGUACUUCAAGUCAGGCGUGAAAGCCCCGGGCUCAACCUGGGAACCGCGCUUGAGACUGGAGAACUAGAGUUCGGGAGAGGAUGUGGAAUUCCCAGUGUAGAGGUGAAAUUCGUAGAUAUUGGGAAGAACACCGAUGGCGAAGGCAGCUCGCUGGAACGGUACUGACGCUGAGGCGCGAAAGCGUGGGGAGCGAACAGG
rnacentral:rRNA from 1 species